ACGUAAUAGAUACCCGGGUAGUCCACGCCCUAAACGAUGUCUACUAGUUGUUGGUGGAGUAAAAUCCAUGAGUAAACGCAGCUAAACGCGUGAAGUAGACCGCCUGGGGAGUACGGUCGCAAGAUUAAAACUCAAAGGAAUUGACGGGGGCCCGGCACAAGCGGUGGAUUAUGUGGAUUAAUUCGAUGCAACGCGAAAAACCUUAACCUGGCCUUGACAUGCCACUAACGAAGCAGAGAUGCAUUAGGUGCCCGUAAGGGAAAGUGGACACAGGUGCUGCAUGGCUGUCGUCAGCUCGUGUCGUGAGAUGUUGGGUUAAGUCCCGCAACGAGCGCAACCCUUGCCAUUAAUUGCCAUCAUUUAGUUGGGCACUUUAAUGGACUGCCGGUGACAAACCGGAGGAAGGUGGGGAUGACGUCAAGUCCUCAU
rnacentral:rRNA from 1 species